rnacentral:rRNA from 1 species
GCCAUCGGCCAUACCACGAUGAAUACGCCGGUUCUCGUCCGAUCACCAGGGCUAAACAAUGUUGGGCCCGGGUAGUGUUCGGAAGGGAAGCCGCCUGGGAACAUUGGAUGUUUAUGGUA